UUUCCGUAGGUGAACCUGCGGAAGGAUCAUUCAUAAUAAGUGUUUUAUGGCACCUUUUUAAAUCCAUAUCCACCUUGUGUGCAAUGUCAGGGUUGAUUUUUCUCUCGAGAGGAUCAACCCCAAACAUCAACUAUAUCUCAACUCUUUGUCUGAAAAAUAUUAUGAAUAAAACAAUUCAAAAUACAACUUUCAACAACGGAUCUCUUGGCUCUC
rnacentral:misc_RNA from 1 species